GAUAGCCCAUCAGGUAAAUGCUGACGCCCAAUCCACCUCCCCGCGCCUGCACGCCGCCAGCCCGCGCGCCGUCGAGCCGUCGCGCCCGCCUCGUUCUCGGCUGCUCGGCACUUCGGCGGGCACGGCCUGGACUGCGCCGUUCGCACGCCAACCACCGUCCACCGCGACGGCCGACGGCGCAGCAGGCAGCACGGAGGGGCCGACGCCGAUCCACCCGCCCUAGCGAUUAGCAAGAGCGGCAAAAGGCUCUCGUGGUGAGGACAUCCUUGUGUUCAAGCAACUAGCAACAACUCUAUUGCCAGAGCUUCGCUCUCGUCGUGUACGUAGAUGCAGAGCCUUCAACGCACCCAUGACAGGCAGGAAUCCAAACAUUGGCCCUCCACUUCCCCGCGGGGCAGCUAGAAUACGUUUAUGUACCUCUCGAUCUCCGUCUCCGUCUCUACUACCUAAUGAGAAGCUUACUUUCCAUUCAAAUAGUUAAACCAAGAGGCUAUAUUCAAUUAGAGUAGCUACGAUGUACAAUGUUUAUACCCCCUAAGUGUUUUUGACGAAAAAGCAGCAGUUGCUGAGUUUCAUUGAUGAAGAGCUAUGACCUUGUUGAAACUAUUUGCUUAUUUAUUUAUAAGUUGGCCGUAUGCAUCGUUCUGAUGCAGAGGCCGGGGAGUCCCCCUUUUCGAAAAAAAAGCUAUUACAACUGGGGCACCGGCAGCCAAUCUAUACAAACCGGCUAGAGGCCAAUCAAGGCGGGUCAAAAAACUUUGACAUCGGCUUAAGCCCGGCAUAUAGCCAGCACUGUGCCUCGUCAAGUAUCCUGUUAUGGACCUGGGUUAUAGAGCUUACUGCAGCGUUAAAAAUCCUUGCAUUGCGCUCCUUCCAGAAGCACCACGCGACUAGCGGGAGAAUUUCAGGCGCUACCACACCUCCUUUGACUGUGAUACCAUGAUACGGGAGCUCGUGGUCCGUCCGAUCAAAGAUCUAGUGGUCAUAGGAAAAGCUUGUGCAAACUUGCUGAAACACCCGCAAUUUAUCUCUUAAUUUUGCGCAGGUCUGGAGACUGGAACACUAACCGUUGGAUCUUGAUCUGACGGACCAGAAGCUCUCAUAUCAUGGUAUCACAGGAAGUGCGGGAGCACCUGAAAUUCUCCCGGUGACUAGCAGGCACACGGCCCUCCAGGUGGAUUUAUUUGCCUUUGGCAGCGAGCAUGUCUGCCUUCGGAAUCGAUCUCUCAUGCGGCUUGCAUGUGAAGGUUAGCGUAUGGAGGCUAUACCCCCCUAAGUUUCAGGUUUUACCUUAUUUAACAGAAAUUCCUUCAUUUUACUCGAUUUAGGUCCCAUUUUUUAUCUCUUCUAGUUUUUCUUCACAUUUCUUUUUCUAUUCGACACAAGAACACCAAGAGGGUGAGUUUUGACGUCUCCCUCCUUGUCGCUCUACUGCCGUUGAAUUCCCACCCUGCCGACGGCAAGCUAGUUUUUUCGUGUUCUCUUUUUGUGUACCGACUCAACUAGGAAACUAAACCUUCCGACUAACUACUAAGGUCAACUCUGACUGAUCCCCUAAAAAUGAAGGAGGAUCCGGCUGUGUAAACCUUUUCUUUUUGACCGGAAUGACAGGUGCUCCGCCUUUUCAUU